rnacentral:rRNA from 1 species
AACGAACGCUGGCGGCAUGCCUAACACAUGCAAGUCGAACGAAGGCUUCGGCCUUAGUGGCGCACGGGUGCGUAACGCGUGGGAAUCUGCCCUUUGGUUCGGAAUAACAGCUGGAAACGGCUGCUAAUACCGGAUGAUGACGAAAGUCCAAAGAUUUAUCGCCAGAGGAUGAGCCCGCGUUGGAUUAGGUAGUUGGUGGGGUAAAGGCCUACCAAGCCGACGAUCCAUAGCUGGUCUGAGAGGAUGAUCAGCCACACUGGGACUGAGACACGGCCCAGACUCCUACGGGAGGCAGCAGUGGGGAAUAUUGGACAAGGGGCGCAAGCCUGAUCCAGCCAUGCCGCGUGAGUGAUGAAGGUCCUAGGGUUGUAAAGCUCUUUUACCCGGGAAGAUAAUGACUGUACCGGGAGAAUAAGCCCCGGCUAACUCCGUG